GUGGGGGCGAGUGAAAGUGGUUUUGGGGGCAGUUCGUGCGAGUCGGCCCCCCACGUUGAGAAUGCCCUGAAGUUUGUCUCCUGGUCAAGUUCAAUAGCGACUGUCUGGCUAUGUCUGGAAGCCCAGUGAUUUGCAUUGCUUGAAACUGGGUGUUCGGCUAAGUCCCCUCGGCACCCCCACCUCACCCUCCCGACCGUGGGAGAAAGGGUGCGGGCGUUCGCAUCUUUGCCUCGGAAAGGUUUCUUACAGGAGGUGGAUUUAGGGGGCAACUCGCGUCUAGUUGUGAACGAGCGUUUAGGGAAUCCGAAACUCGGGGAACCCUGGUGAUAGUCUACUCCCCGCCCCCGCACAACAUGCAUAGACACACUGCACAUCACAUGUACACACAAACACACACACGCACACGCCACUCCUCCCGCCCCGAUUUGCUUCCGGGAAAACAAGUCCGAGAGCAGCAGACACUUGCCAAAAGUCACGCAGCGAGCAACUUCCCCUGCCUACCAGAGUACGGAAUCCUGCUCAAAGCGUGGUGUGAGGAGUCGUGAAACCGCAUAGGAACAAUGCCUAGCACAUGAAUUCCUAUCAGAACCGCUUUUACUGCCUCCCCCGGCGACGUUCCCGGCCCGCCAACGUUUCUUUCGUCCUUACAAGGCCAGCUUCCACCCGCUGCUUUUGUGUAAAUAAAGCCUGGCCUUCUGCCUGCAGGUUGCCGCCAGAAGCCGGCCGGUGGGGGAAGGGUUCGGAACCGGUACGACCGCCUCAGCCGCGCCGGGAGAGGCCGAGAGUCCGCCACGCUCAGCCGUCGCGCGGGGGCGGUACUCCGGGCCCCCCAGGAUGAGCCGAGCCGAGAAACCCAGCACGAGAAAGUCCCCACCCACCUGCACCCUCUUCCGUGGGUCACCCCGCGCGUGGCAGGCCCUUGACAAAUAUCGUCCUGAAUUCUCCCCGCGAUCCUGGGAGUAUCCUCCCCAUUUUAUAGACGAGAGACUGAGGCUUACCAAGUGUAAGGGGCUUGACCGAGGUCCCAUAGGCGAAAAAAGUGGCAAACCAAGAACUUCUAACCGAAUAUAUCUGGCUGCAAAAUCCAGUCUUCUCCCAUCCCGCCGGUCACCAGUGAGACUGUAAAGGUCUUAAAGGAGAAGAAUAAAAAAAAAAAUAACCACACGAAUCAGAUUAACAGAUCGUAAGGAAUUGAAAGGGCCUUCCAGAGCUGCUGGUAUUUCAAACAAGUGGACUCGAACCACAGGAUAAGUAACAAACUACUUUUCCUGGGUGACCAAUCAUACUUUUUUUUUAAUUAAAAAUAUAUUUAUUAAAAUAGAUUACGAUGGAGAAGAAUAUAAUUUUCAAAAUAAUGAUAGCUGAAAACAGAAGACUUAAAAGAAAUGUCAGGCUGUUUCCACCUCGCACACCUUUCGUUCGAUUGCACACACAUUCUUGACAUCAAGUACAUAAACAGGCAAACUGAGGCCCGAAACCAGUCCCACUGAGAGCGAGAGGCCGAGUGGGAGGAGAACCGAGAUUUCCGGGCUCUCGGCCUGGGGUGCUUUCGGCUGGGGGCGGGGGUCCUGUUUGUAAACAGGUGUCCUCGGACAGCCACUGCCGAUUUUUGUCACUCUGCCAACCGGAGGGACGAUUCUGAGUAAUCGCUAGCAGUCAGCGCAGCUGGGGCUAAAAGCGAAAGGGACGCGCGCGCGACGGGCCCGGGAGGGCGACGGGUAAAGCGCGCAGGCGGGGCCGCCGCCGGGUUCCCGCGGGGCGACCGUGCGGUAGGCCUCCUCCCGGACCGCUCUCGACGGCCCCGCCCCGCGCAGGCGGCGGGCGCUGCAGGCCCCGCCCCUGCUCCCAGCCCAGGGGACCCAUCCCGGACCUGAGAAUCCCGGUCCCAAACCCCUCCUCCCAAAAGGGGCUAAAAGGUGCAGGGGGCUUUUGACCAGCCCGUCCAGCUUCAGGUCCUGGGACCGGCGGCCCUGUCCUUGCGCGUGGGAACAGUCAGGUACUUAGGCUUGACCUUAAAUCCGCCCCUGGUAUUUGCUAAC
ensembl:lncRNA